rnacentral:rRNA from 1 species
UACGUAGGGGGCAAGCGUUGUCCGGAAUCAUUGGGCGUAAAGCGCGCGUAGGCGGCCCUGUAAGUCCGCUGUAAAAGUCAAAGGCUCAACCUUUGAAAGCCGGUGGAUACUGCAGGGCUAGAGUCCGGAAGAGGCGAGUGGAAUUCCUGGUGUAGCGGUGGAAUGCGCAGAUAUCAGGAAGAACACCCGUGGCGAAAGCGGCUCUCUGGAACGGUACUGACGCUGAGACGCGAAAGCGUGGGGAGCGAACAGG